GAUUUCAACUAAAAAAGUCAUCAACAACAAAGAUAUAUAACUCAUCAAGAUCUAUAAUUUUUAUUUUGGUCAUUUCUUUAUCCGAUAAAGUGUUAGUAAUAUUGUUCACAAAAUUGGCAUAUCUAUGUUAUAGUUUAUAAACCAGAUGAGAUAUAUGUGAAUUUUAUAAAUAAUGUUACUAUCACUUUAUUAGAUGAAGAAAUGAUCAAAUAAAAGUUAUAGAUCUUGAUGAGUUAUAUAUCUUUGUUGUUGAUGGCUUUUUCAAUUAAAAUC
rnacentral:pre_miRNA from 1 species